rnacentral:lncRNA from 1 species
AUGAAGGCAUCCUUCACAUUCUACCCUAUCCUGCUAUUUCUUCUUGUCUCAGGUACCUUCUCUCUUAACACCAUUAACCUAUUGCUUUCAAUUCUUUUUUUCUUCUUCAUUAUUUCGGGGUUUAUGCUCAUAACUUUGUAUAAUUCAGCUAUUGUUUGUUUGCUUUUUUUUUUUUCCCCUUUUAAUUGGGCAGUUGAAUUUGGCACUUGCUCAGUGGUUCGUGGCAAUGCACGCGCCGUGAGGAUCCAGGAGCACUCGUGCCAUAAGCUGAUUGAUCAGUCAAUCAGAUGUGAGCUGCAGAAUUGCAUCAAGGAAUGCUCCAAAGAACCAUCUGGUGUCGGAGUGUGCAGAAGUAGAGUCUGUUUUUGCACAUACUAUUGUAAGGAUCCUCCAAAGUGA